AGCACCGAAGCCUGUGGUCGUUUGGCCUCUAGGCAAUGUGGUGUUCAGGUCAGCCUGCGGAGGUACCGCUCCACCCUAAGUCCUAUAAUGAGUAAGGUUACUCGGACGUGGCCCAUAGAGGGUGAAAGGCCCGUGGGGGUGGAGAUUCAGUUUGGCCGGUAUCUUCCUGGGUAGACCUUGGAGUCGGGUUGUUUGUGAAUGCAGCCCAAAGUGGGUGGUAAACUCCAUCCAAGGCUAAAUACUAACACGAGUCCGAUAGCGAACAAGUACCGUGAGGGAAAGUUGAAAAGUACUUUGAAGAGAGAGUAAACAGUGCGUGAAACCGCUCAGAGGUAAACGGGUGGAGUUGAACUGCAAGCUUUGAGAAUUCAACUGGUGAGUAUGGCAUGAGCUGGGUAUAUUGGUUGACGGUUCGGGUCUGCUUAGCUGCAGGUUCUCGCCUUCGGGUGGGGAUGCGCGUAUCACUUAUCAAGUGUUGUGCGCCCGGACUGUUUCGGACCUGCUCGCCAGUGCACUUUCUCGGAGUGGUCACCACGACCGGCAUUGCUGUCUGGCUGUUGUAGUUAAACCGGCCUGGUAGGGUCCUUGUGGCUUUGCUUGGUCGGGACGGCAGGUAGCCCGUUAUGUACUUCGGUGUGUUUCGGGUGUAAUAGCUGACUACAUCAGUUCUGUGCGGUAUGUCGGAGACGGCGGCUUGUUGUGCGUGCGUGCGUGCUUGUUAUGCUGGCGGCGCUGUGUCUGGUUGCCGUGUUGCUUGUAAAUGCAAGCCCGGUGAUGGCUCGGUGUCGUUCGGUGUGCGGUUGCGUGCGUGGCACUAUAAAGGGCCAAUAGUCUGUGGUGUAGUGGUAGACUAUCCACCUGACCCGUCUUGAAACACGGACCAAGGAGAGUAACAUGUGCGCGAGUCAUUGGGCGUUACGAAACCCAAAGGCGCAGUGAAAGUAAAGGUUCGGCUUGUCCGGGCUGAGGUGAGAUCCUGUCGUUUCUCACGCGUGGUACUACCAAGCAUCGAGCGGCAGGCGCAUCACCGGCCCGUCCCAUGGCGUGGAAGCAGCCUCGUG
rnacentral:rRNA from 1 species